AUUGAACGCUGGCGGCAGGCCUAACACAUGCAAGUCGAACGGUGGAACGGUGAGUGCUCCCUGCUUCGGCGGGUGACGGGCGGGUGAGUAAUGCGUAUGUCCCCUGCCGUGUUGCCGGGGGUCACUACUGGGGACGAUAUACAAUACCACAUCACAAGGGAUAAGCGAUGGAACUUAUUAGCUACGGACAUAUGCUGAACUAAUGGAUGGAUCUAGGUUGGAUUAGCUAGUGGGUGGGGUAAAGGCCCACCCAGGCGACGAUCCGUAGCUGGUCUGAGAGGAUGAUCAGUCACACUGGAACUGAGACACGGUCCAGACUCCUACGGGAGGCAGCAGUGGGGAAUAUUGGACAAUGGGCGCAAGCCUGAUCCAGCCAUGCCGCGUGUGUGAAGAAGGUCUUCGGAUUGUAAAGCACUUUUGGUGGGGAAGAAAGGCAGUAAGUUAAUACCUUGCUGUUUUGACGGUACCCAAAGAAUAAGCACCGGCUAACUUCGUG
rnacentral:rRNA from 1 species